UUCUGGAUUCAUAUAUGUGUGUAUGUGUGUGUGUGUGUGUGUAUGUUUGUGUAGACACACAUAUAUACACACACA
rnacentral:miRNA from 12 species